CACCAUUACAGAUAUGGUAGAAGGAAGAGUCUCACAGUGGUUUCCAAGUGUGGUCCCCGGACCUGCAGCAUCAACAUCACCUGGAAACCCAUUAGAAAAGCAAACCCAGCUGUGGGCCCAGCAAGUUGUAGUUUAACAAGCCCUUCAGGUGUAUACUUUGGGAGGUACACAGACCCACUGUAGCACCUUCAGAUGGUGAGAAGGAAGGCCAAUUAAAAGAAUGUCCAAAGAAAGGAGUACUCAUCAUGAGAUAAAACACCAGCAGAGGAAUGAAAGCUGCUUCAAACAGGUGACAAAACUGAGGCUCAGAGGCCAAUGGCCUUGUUCAAGGUCACACGCCCACUAAAUGAGAGACCCGGAGACCUGGCAUCACAC
rnacentral:lncRNA from 10 species